GCUGCUGUGGACGCUUCGGGGACAGAUAGACACCAGCUCCAUCACACUGCAAAAAGUGUUAAAUGUUCAAAAGUCAUUAGUCUCAGUCUUAAUUUAUUAUAAGACGAGUGCGGAGCUGGGCUUAUUGCUAAAACUGUUAUGACACCGCCCUCUUCUGGAAAAUCGACGAGUCACCGUGGAAAGAUCUCCAUCUAACGGCGAAACACCUGCACAUCUACUGUUUUCCAGGCAGUCUGAAGCAUUAGUGAGGUCCAAUCGUUUGAAAACAGCUUGAGUUGGUCGACUAAGACAGAAAAUUGACAUGACAUGAAUGCAUUAAAAGACUUAAAUACUAUUGUCAAAAGAGGUGAGAAGCCUAUUCUCUAACCUGAAAUCUGAACAAGGAAUAUUAAAAGUGCUGGUUCUGAAGCCUGAAGGAAGCUGGACAAUGGCGGAAUGUGAGAGGCGCCUCUCUCUCUCCUUCUGCUGCCCUGCACAGUGCUACCUCUUUCAUUCUUGAGCUCAGUACUUGUACAAGAUGUACUCUCUUUUUCCUUUAAUCUGCUUUACUCCUUCACACCCUUUCAUUGUCUUUUUAUGUUCAGUUUCGCUCAGGGAGCUUUGAAAAAAUAUAGUAUGGAUUUCACUACAUAAGAAAUAGCCUAGAUACAUACCAUGUAGCCUCAGCUUCAACUUAAAUCAUCAGCUAAGCCCAUGUACCAGGUUUGUACCCUUUUUUCCAUAAAGAAUUGAUACUGCUACCGAAAUGUAAAAUGAAA